GUGAAUCAUCGAAUUUUUGAACGCAAAUUGCACUCUCCUCGGAGAGUAUGCCUGUUUGAGGGUCAGCCUAUAAAAAAUCGAGGCGUCGCUUUUUUUUUUAUGGGUGAUCGUGUCGGAAUUGAGCCGUUUUUCAAAUGUUAAUUCAUGUUAAAGUGGCUUAAAAUUCAUCCAUCCGGUACGAUUAAAGCGUAUUUAAGUUAAAUUUUGAUUAAGAACGCGCGAUUAACGUACCAUCCCUU
rnacentral:misc_RNA from 1 species